GAUGAACGCUAGCGGCAGGCUUAAUACAUGCAAGUCGUGGGGCAGCAUGAAGUAGCAAUACUUUGAUGGCGACCGGCAAACGGGUGCGGAACACGUACACAACCUUCCUUUUAGUGGGGAAUAGCCCAGAGAAAUUUGGAUUAAUACCCCGUAACAUAGCGAUGAGGCAUCUCAUUGCUAUUAUAGCUUCGGCGCUAGAUGAUGGGUGUGCGUAUGAUUAGAUAGUUGGCGAGGUAACGGCUCACCAAGUCUACGUUCAUUAGCUGAUGUGAGAGCAUGAUCAGCCACACGGGCACUGAGACACGGGCCCGACUCCUACGGGAGGCAGCAGUAAGGAAUAUUGGUCAAUGGACGAAAGUCUGAACCAGCCAUGCCGCGUGAAGGAUUAAGGUCCUCUGGAUUGUAAACUUCUUUUAUAUGGGACGAAAAAAGGUCUUUCUAGAUCACUUGACGGUACCAUAUGAAUAAGCACCGGCUAACUCCGUGCCAGCAGCCGCGGUAACAC
rnacentral:rRNA from 1 species